CGCACUGCUCAGUAACACGUGGACAACCUGCCCUGAGGACUGGAAUAAUCCCGGGAAACUGGGGGUAAUUCCAGAUAUGUCAGAACUCCUGGAAUGGGUUCUGGCAGAAAGGCUCCGGCGCCUCAGGAUGGGUCUGCGGCCUAUCAGGGUAGUAGUGGGUGUAACGUACCUACUAGCCUACGACGGGUACGGGUUGUGAGAGCAAGAGCCCGGAGAUGGAUUCUGAGACAUGAAUCCAGGCCCUACGGGGUGCAGCAGGCGCGAAAACUUUACAAUGCGGGCAACCGCGAUAAGGGGACCUCGAGUGCUGGGUUACAAACCUGGCUGUUGGGCUGCCUAAAAAGCAGUCUAUAGCAAGGGCCGGGCAAGACCGGUGCCAGCCGCCGCGGUAACACCGGCGGCUCGAGUGGUAACCGCUAUUAUUGGGUCUAAGGGUCUGUAGCCGGCCGACUAAGUCUCUUGGGAAAUCUGGCAUCUCAAGUGUCAGGCUGCCAGGGGAUACUGGUCGGCUUGGGACCGGGAGAGGUGAGAGGUACCUCGGGGGUAGGGGUGAAAUCUUGUAAUCCUCGAGGGACCACCAGUGGCGAAGGCGUCUCACCA
rnacentral:rRNA from 1 species